rnacentral:rRNA from 1 species
CCUACGGGUGGCAGCAGUGAGGAAUAUUGGUCAAUGGGCUUACGCCUGAACCAGCCAAGUCGCGUGAGGGAAGACUGCCCUAUGGGUUGUAAACCUCUUUUGUCAGGGAGCAAUUGGCGCUACGUGUAGCGUUCUCGAGAGUACCUGAAGAAAAAGCAUCGGCUAACUCCGUGCCAGCAGCCGCGGUAAUACGGAGGAUGCGAGCGUUAUCCGGAUUUAUGGGGUUUAAAGGGUGCGUAGGCGGAAUGCCAAGUCAGCGGUAAAAUCGCGGGGCUCAACCGGGCUCCUCCGUUGAAACUGGCGUUGUUGAGUGGGCGAGAAGUAUGCGGAAGGCGUGGUGUAGCGGUGAAAUGCAUAGAUAUCACGCAGAACUCCGAUUGCGAAGGCAGCAUACCGGCGCCCAACUGACGCUGAAGCACGAAAGCGUGGGUAUCGAACAGGAUUAGAUACCCCUGUAGUC